UAAAAAUUACCAGCAUUUCACAAUAAUUAACAGUAUUAUUUCACAGUAACUUGUUGUGAUUACAUUUCCCUGUAAUAUCCCAAUGAAUACCUGUAAAAACUACAAUAUCCUUGGAUUUUACAGCAUUUAACUCUUAUUUUACAAUAAAACAUUGCAAUUUAAAACCUGCUGUUAUGUCACAGCAAGGUCUGUAAUAUCACAGCAACACAGUGAAAAAAAAUAAGGAUUUCACAGCAGCAAACAGUAUUAUUGCAGUGAAAUACUGUAGCCUAUGCCCUGGGAAGUCAUGUGACAUAACCGAACUGUUGCAGGCUCCGUCGUCUCCCGCCGCCUCUUCUAUUUCGGGCUUAACGGAGAAGGUGCUUCCUGGGCAUCAAUCCCGAAAGAGGAUCGAAGACCAAGAGGAGGACCACAAUGAACCCUCAUAUUAGCACCCUAUUGAGGAAACUAAUUGACUUUGAGUGGGCGUCAUAGUGUUUUUUAGCAGUGGUACUUGUCAGGCUCCACAGUUAAAAGUUUGCACAAUUCUAAAAAAAUUAAUUUCUUAAAUUCUUGCUGUACAUUGAAACAUAUGUGUUAAUAAAUAUGCCAUUGGGCUAACAUUGA